rnacentral:rRNA from 1 species
UACAGAGGGUGCGAGCGUUAAUCGGAAUUACUGGGCGUAAAGCGCGCGUAGGCGGCUUUUCAAGUCGAUUGUGAAAUCCCCGGGCUUAACCUGGGAACUGCAGUCGAGACUGUCUAGCUAGAGUAUGGGAGAGGAAGUGGAAUUUCAGGUGUAGCGGUGAAAUGCGUAGAUAUCUAGAGGAACGCCAGAGGCGAAAGCGGGGCACUGGGCCGAAUCUGACGCUGAUACGCGAAAGCGUGGGGAGCAAACAGG